rnacentral:rRNA from 1 species
UACGUAGGAUGCAAGCGUUGUCCGGAAUUAUUGGGCGUAAAGAGCGCGCAGGCGGUUACUCAAGUCAGAUGUAAAAUAUCCCGGCUUAACCGGGAGGGGCCAUUUGAAACUGGGUAACUAGAGUGAAGCAGAGGAUAGCAGAAUUCCCGGUGUAGUGGUGAAAUGCGUAGAUAUCGGGAGGAACACCAGUGGCGAAGGCGGCUAUCUGGGCUUUAACUGACGCUGAGGCGCGAAGGCUAGGGGAGCAAACAGG